UACAGAGGGGGCAAGCGUUGUUCGGAAUUACUGGGCGUAAAGGGCGCGUAGGCGGCCUUCUAAGUCGAACGUGAAAUCCCUGGGCUCAACCCAGGAACUGCGUCCGAUACUGGGAGGCUUGAAUCCGGGAGAGGGAUGUGGAAUUCCAGGUGUAGCGGUGAAAUUCGUAGAUAUUCGGAAGAACACCAGUGGCGAAGGCGGCUCACUGGACCGGCAUUGACGCUGAGGUGCGAAAGCGUGGGGAGCAGACAGG
rnacentral:rRNA from 1 species